CGGACGGGUGAGUAACACGUGGAUAACCUACCUAUAAGACUGGGAUAACUUCGGGAAACCGGAGCUAAUACCGGAUAAUAUUUUGAACCGCAUGGUUCAAAAGUGAAAGACGGUCUUGCUGUCACUUAUAGAUGGAUUCGCGCUGCAUUAGCUAGUUGGUAAGGUAACGGCUUACCAAGGCAACGAUGCGUAGCCGACCUGAGAGGGUGAUCGGCCACACUGGAACUGAGACACGGUCCAG
rnacentral:rRNA from 1 species